AUUUUACUAUUUAUAUAGCGCCAUCAGAUUCCGUAGCGCUGUAAAAUGGGUGUACUAACAGACAUGUAAUUGUAACCAGACAACUGGAUGUACAGGAACAGAGAGGUGGAGAGACCUGCUCAAUGUUAAUAGUCCUGUCCGUUGGUGUUUACGUAACUCGUUUAGAAUACGUUUUAGUUGGGAUUACAUAGAUAUUUAGUAUGUCACUACUAACUGUUG